rnacentral:sRNA from 1 species
GGCCUUCAGGCUGGGGCUGCGGGCCAGGCCAGGUGUUUGCCACUGUGUUUCCCUCUCUUUCCUUGUGCCCCAGGUCUCUGACAUCCUCCGAUACCUAUUUCCCGUGCCCAAAGAUGACAGCCACCGGGUCAUCACCUUCGCAAACCAGGACGACUACAUAUCAUUCCGGCACCAUGUGUACAAGAAGACAGACCACCGCAACGUGGAGCUCACUGAGGUCGGGCCCCGCUUUGAGCUGAAGCUGUACAUGAUCCGUCUGGGCACGCUGGAGCAGGAGGCCACAGCAGACGUGGAGUGGCGCUGGCACCCUUACACCAAUACCGCACGCAAGAGGGUCUUCCUGAGCGCCGAGUGAGCACACUCACCACUCAGUCAGGUCAUGGACUUGGAACUCAGGAUGGGGCUGUCAUAGACAGACCUACCAGUAGGAACUGUCACGAAUGGCCUGCCGAACUGGGAUGUGGAACUGUGGCGGGUGGAGAGGUCUGAAUAAACUGUCUGUGUCACGGCC